rfam:Brassica oleracea var. oleracea cultivar TO1000 chromosome C3, whole genome shotgun sequence
AAGAGCAGUGAUGAGUCAGUUUACAGACCUGUAAUGAUUGCGGUUAUGAUCGCAUUUAAUUAUGAACAUCUAAGGGACUGAGUUUUU